rnacentral:rRNA from 1 species
GACGAACGCUGGCGGCGUGCUUAACACAUGCAAGUCGAACGGAAAGGCCCAGCUUGCUGGGUGCUCGAGUGGCGAACGGGUGAGUAACACGUGGGUGAUCUGCCCCUAACUUCGGGAUAAGCUUGGGAAACUGGGUCUAAUACCGGAUAGGACAAUCGUUUAGUGUCGGUUGUGGAAAGUUUUUUCGGUUAGGGAUGAGCCCGCGGCCUAUCAGCUUGUUGGUGGGGUAAUGGCCUACCAAGGCGUCGACGGGUAGCCGGCCUGAGAGGGUGGACGGCCACAUUGGGACUGAGAUACGGCCCAGACUCCUACGGGAGGCAGCAGUGGGGAAUAUUGCACAAUGGGCGCAAGCCUGAUGCAGCGACGCCGCGUGGGGGAUGACGGCCUUCGGGUUGUAAACCUCUUUCGACAGGGACGAAGCUUCGGUGACGGUACCUGUAUAAGAAGCACCGGCUAACUACGUG